UACAGAGGUCUCAAGCGUUGUUCGGAUUCAUUGGGCGUAAAGGGAGCGUAGGCGGCGCGGUAAGUCAGAUGUGAAAUCCCGGGGCUCAACCCCGGAACUGCAUCCGAUACUGCCGUGCUAGAGGAUUGGAGAGGUAGCUGGAAUUCUUGGUGUAGCAGUGAAAUGCGUGGAGAUCAAAGAGGAACACUCGUGGCGAAAGCGAGCUACUGGACAAUAUCUGACGCUGAGGCUCGAAGGCCAGGGUAGCGAAAGGG
rnacentral:rRNA from 1 species